rnacentral:rRNA from 1 species
AUUGAACGCUGGCGGCAGGCCUAACACAUGCAAGUCGAGCGGAUGACGGGAGCUUGCUCCUUGAUUCAGCGGCGGACGGGUGAGUAAUGCCUAGGAAUCUGCCUGGUAGUGGGGGACAACGUUUCGAAAGGAACGCUAAUACCGCAUACGUCCUACGGGAGAAAGCAGGGGACCUUCGGGCCUUGCGCUAUCAGAUGAGCCUAGGUCGGAUUAGCUAGUUGGUGAGGUAAUGGCUCACCAAGGCGACGAUCCGUAACUGGUCUGAGAGGAUGAUCAGUCACACUGGAACUGAGACACGGUCCAGACUCCUACGGGAGGCAGCAGUGGGGAAUAUUGGACAAUGGGCGAAAGCCUGAUCCAGCCAUGCCGCGUGUGUGAAGAAGGUCUUCGGAUUGUAAAGCACUUUAAGUUGGGAGGAAGGGCAGUAAGUUAAUACCUUGCUGUUUUGACGUUACCGACAGAAUAAGCACCGGCUAACUCUGUGCCAGCAGCCGCCGCAGUAA